rnacentral:lncRNA from 1 species
UUUUUUUUUUUUUUUUUUUUUUUUCCUGCAGGGGCCUGUAAAGGGAAUUCCUGCAUCGCUCUAACCAUGCACACCCUUGGACUUAGCUUUUACCUGUAACUGGCUUCUGAGAGACAAAGAGGAGAAACCUUCACUCCUAGUACACCUAUUACAGCUGCAGAGGCGGAGGAGACAGUUGCGGAACUAGUUACAAUGAUGAUAAGAAACAAUACUUUGUUAUUCCAUAGCACUUUUAAUGUUCAUGUGUAUUAUCUCAGCUAGCCUUGAACCGCCUAAGUAAGGUGAUGAGGACGGGUUUAAGCCCCACUGAUAUUUUAAAAGCCCAGAGAAAAGUGUUUGUUCCUCUACUAACCUGUUCUUUUAGAGCAGGGAUCUGCAUAUUAAGCCUGCAGCCAAAAUGAGUAGGUAGCCCACUACCUAUUUUUGUAUAGCCAGAGGGCUAAGAAUGGUUUUUACAUUUUAAGUGGUUUUACAUUUUAAGAUCAAAAGAAGGAUAAUAUUUCAUGACAAGUAAAAAUUAUAUGAACUCAAAAUUGUAUGAAUUUUAUGAAUUUAAAUUUCCGUACUCAUAACUAAAGUUUUAUUGAACUACAGCCACAUUCAUUUAUUUACAUGCUAUCUAUGGCUGCUUUCUUGCUACAAACGCAAACUGGAGAAUGUACCUGGCCUGCAAAGUCAAAGUAUUUACUAUCUGGCCCUUCACAAACAAAGUUUGCCAACCUUAUUUUAGGGACACCACUGUCUUUCCUUUCUCAAAACCAGGCAAUGAGCCUUCUGGUGUUUAGAGAACAGAAACUGCAGCUAUGCCUGUACCACUGGUUGAUAAUCCUAGUAAUGAACUAGAUCCCCUCACUGGCUUGUGCCAGCUCCUCAUUCUUCUGGGAAAACUCUCCAACGCCGGCCCACUGUUUUCCAACAACAUACAAACUCUUAACCCAUUAUCUCCCCAUUAGAGUGUGCCUUCUCUUCAGGCAGGAAUAAAGACGUAUAGCUGCCCGUCCCCACCCCCGCAUUCCCUUUCCCGCAAUUCUAACUGACAAACAGCAGGCAACUUAUCUAUGGAACAAACGAUUCUGUAGUGCUUAGAAUGUGACAGGCUCGUUUAAUUCUCAUUGCAGCCCUAUGAGGCUGGCACUAUUAUCAUCACCAUCCUCAUUUUAUAGAGUAGGAACCAGAGGCACAGACAGGCUGAGCCACCUGUCCCAGGUCCUGCCAAGUGGUGCCUCCCAGCGGUGGAGGCAGCACUGGAAUCCGUGCCGCCAAGCUCCUCGGGUUGGGUGACAUGGAGAUUCCCGUUAAAAACAGAUUUCCCACAAGACCGAUUGGAGCACCGAUCGGAGCACCUGUCCGGGCCACACAUUUCCUCCUGGAACACAGCAAGUGUCCCCUAAAUUACCCGAUUGAGCAUCUGUUCCUGGCACGAGAGGCAGGGAGGCCAAAGGGCCGCCAAGCUGGCCUGGGAGAGGCGU